rnacentral:lncRNA from 1 species
GGUUGUUGAAAUAUGCGGCCGAAUUUCUAGAGGAUUACGGCCGGGCUGUGGUGGCUGGAGUUUUGCGAGAGGCCCCUAGAGAAGAAGGUUGGGUUGUGCUUGAGCGAGGCCGGAUGUGCCCAAAGGAAGUGCGGCCGGGUUUUUGGGCAAUGGAGCUAUGACCUGAUUUUUGGGCAAAGGAGCCGCGACCGGGUUUUUGGGCAAAGGAGUUGCAGUCGAGUCUUUUU